AUGAACUUAUUGGGAGGGGGGGGGGGGCAGGAGGGAGACGAGGCAGAUAAAAAUAAAACCCUAGGACCAGAGCAGCCGAGCUGUCCCCGGGCUUGGCCGACCUUCACACCUGGACCUGGCACGGGAAGGGAGGCGGAGGGGACCCGAAGCAGCAGGAGGGGAGGGUGUCUCUGCCCCGAGCGGGUGGCGGGUGGCGGGUGGCGGGUGGCGGGUGGCGUGGACAUCUGGGGUCUGCACAAGGAGGGGCGCUCUGCCCGGAUGCAGCCCCGGCCGGCAGCGCCUCUGAUCCUGCCGCAGGCCGGGCCUCGGGGGCUCAGACUGAGGGCCUCGGAGUCCGGCCAGGCCCGGCGGGCGGCGCUGGGGCUCGUGGGGAAGCUGGCACUUUUCCACGCCCUUAGUCUGCGGUCACUGAGGUGUCCCAGGGGGGCGGUGGGCACGGGAGGCCGGAGCGGGCAGCUUUCCCGGCCGCGAGCUGCACACCGAGGCCGGAGCGCCGACCCCCGGGAUCAGCCCGCAGCCGGGCCGGUGCCCCCGGGUCACCUCCCUCCCCUCACCUCCGGGGAGGGAGCGGCCGCCGGGCUGGGCGGGGUCCGGGGGCGGGGCGGGGGCGGGGGCGGGGGCGGGGGCGGCGCGGCGACCCCUCGCGGCCCGGGCGUCCGGCUCACCUGGCGGCGACGCGAGGUGCGGCUCGCGGGGAGGGCGCGGCCGGCGGGCGGCGGGCGCGGGCGGCGGGCGCGGGCGGCGGGGGGCGGGGCCGAGCGCCGGGACGCCCCGCCCCCCGUGACGUGGCGCCGCCCCACUGGCCCCCGCCCUGCCACUCACGCCUCACCAUGGUUGCAGCACAAAGCAACAAGCCCCGGAGGCCGCUUCCUCCCUGAGGAGCGGCUCCGGCGGCCGGAGAAGGCGCAGGAGGAGGAAGAGGCGGAGGAAGCGGAGGGGGAGUCGCCGCUUCCCAGUCGCCGUGUGCGAGGCGGCCGUGCGCGGCUCUCGGCUCUCCGCCCUCGGCCCUCGGCCGCCCGCCGCCCGGAGUCCGACCGCCCCCCCCGCAGGCCGGGAGCAAAGUUGCCGGGAGCCCCCGGGCCGGGGCUCAGCGCGGGCGGUGCUCGGGCCGCUCCGCUCGGGCGCGCGGAUGGGGGCGGGCGGCCGAGCCCCCGGCGGCGGCGCGAGCGGCAGGGGCGGCCCGGGGGGAUGCAGCAGCAGUCGGGAGGCGCGGCCGAGCCCCGUAGCCGGAGACUAGGAGCGGCGGCGGGCGCCGGACCUGACUGA
rnacentral:lncRNA from 1 species